UACGGGGGGCAAGCGUUGUUCGGAAUUACUGGGCGUGAAAGGGCUACGGUGGCGGCCAACUAAGUCAGACGUGAAAUCCCUCGGACUUAACCGGGGAACUGCGUCUGAUACUGGAUGGCUUGAGUGUAGGAGAGGGAUGCGGAAUUCCGAGGUGUAGCGGUGAAAUGACGUAGAUAUCCGGAGGAACACCGGUGGCGAAGGGCGGCAUCCGUGGACUACUACUGACGCUGAGUGAGCGAAAGCCAGGG
rnacentral:rRNA from 1 species